AGACUUAGCCCUUGAUCGGAUGAUUUGCUUUUUUAUAUACUAUAGACCUGUUUAUCCAAGUGUCGUAGGCCAGGCAAUCAAAUUUCACCAGGCAUUUUUGGUUUAGAGUCUGUGACGAUCCGAUUAAAAAUUGCCUCAGGCAAAGUAGACCAAAGUGUCAAUUGACCAAGUGUCGUAGGGUUCAGGCAAUAGGGUUCCCCCAGGCAAUCAAAUUUCACCAGGCAUUUUUGGUUUAGAGUCUGUGACGAUCCGAUUAAAAAUUGCCUCAUGCAAAGUAGACCAAAGUGCAAUUGACCAAGUGUCGUAGGGUUCAGGCAAUAGGGUUCCCCCAGGCAAUUUCAGGCAAUUUCAUCUUUAAAAAAGAAUUUUCCAGGCUAAGUUGACUAAGGAAGCCCAGCGUAGAAGCCAACUACAAUAUUUAAAAAAAAUUAAAUAUGUUUUUGAUAGUCUCAUUUGUUUUCAUUGACUCAAGUUUUUGCCAAAUCAUUAAAAAAAGAUUACGACACUCCCGAUUCCCAGGACGUCUCCGUUCCAAGUACUAAGGAAGCCCAGCGUUGCUUAACUUGCCAGAUCGGACGGGAUGGCGUGCUUUCAACGCGGUAUGGUCGUAAUCAAUGGGUUGUCAAUUUCUUAAUAUUUAAAACAAAUUUCGCUGAGGCAAAGUGGGCUCACCCAACUCACCUGCCGAAUCAACUAGCUCUGAAAAUGGAUGGCGCUGGAGCGGGUCACCUAUACUCUGCCGUCAUAAGCUUGUAUUUUGUUAAAAAGUCUUGCAAUGACGUGUAAGAGGGUCGUAGUGGUUGCGUUGAAGGCUUUGGGUGUGCACCCAGCUGGAGCUUCCACUAGUGCAGAUCUUGGUGGUAGUAGCAAAUAUUCAAGUGAGAUCCUUGAAGACUGAAGUGGAGAAGGGUUCCACGUGAACAGCAGUUGAAUGUGGGUCAGUCGAUCCUAAGGCACCGGCUAAAGCCGUCUAGACACUGCGGGGAGAUGAGAUACUUAACGGUAACUUGUCUACCUGGUUGCCGAAAGGGAAGUGGGUUAAUAUUCCCACACCAGGCAUGGGAGAUUGUGAUCCGCGAGGAUUACUUUGCGCGGUGACGCAAACGACAAACGAACUCGCAGUGACGCAAACGAACUCGCAGACCUCGUGUGGAGUCCGGGCCAGAGUUCUCUUUUCUGGUUUAGAGAUCAUGUCCCUGGAAGUGGCUCAGCCUGAGAUAGGGAUACUGGUCUUGUAAAGCGCAGCGGUUCCUGUUGUGUCCCGUGUGCUCCACAUGAGCCGUGAAAAUGCGAGGGAGGCAAUUUAAAAUCUCCUGCCUGAUCGUACCCAUAUCCGCAGCAGGUCUCCAAGGUGAACAGCCUCUAGUCGAUAGAAUAAUGUAGGCUGUUGUGUGAAACUGGUGGACUUUGCUCGUGGCUGCUUGAGCUUCCUUACGGGGCGGCGCUUGUGGACUAGUAGUGAGGACUGCUUGUGGAGUGCUUCAGCUGCGUGCUAUUUCGCAAGAUAUAGUACUUCGAUUGGCGCUGAACAACCAGUUUAGAACUGGCACGAACUCCGGGAAUCCGACUGUCUAAUUAAAACAGAGGAGACGGAUGGUCCUUGCAGGACGUUGACCGUGUCUGAUUUCUGCCCAGUGCUCUGAAUGUUAAGCCAAGGAAACUUGAUUAAGCGCGGGUAAACGGCGGGAGUAACUAUGACUCUCUUAAGGUAGCCAAAUGCCUCGUCGGCUAACUACCGACGCGCACGAAUGGAUCAACGAGAUUCCCACUGUCCCUAUCUACUAUCUAGCGAAACCACAGCCAAGGGAACGGGCUUGGCAAAUUUAGCGGGGAAAGAAGACCCUGUUGAGCUUGACUCUAGUCUGACUUUGUGAAGAAUCAUGAGAGGUGUAGCAUAAGUGGGAGUCGCAAAACAACAGUGAAAUACCACUACUUUCAUCGAUUCCUUACUUAAUCGGUAAAACGGGAGUUGUGUCUAAAGGCCUUCAUUUUUGUUUUAAAGCUAGCCACUCGGUGUUGGUUGCUCGCGCCGAUGCAUUGUCA
rnacentral:rRNA from 1 species